rnacentral:rRNA from 1 species
AGCGGCGGACGGGUGAGUAAUGCCUAGGAAAUUGCCCUGAUGUGGGGGAUAACCAUUGGAAACGAUGGCUAAUACCGCAUAAUGCCUACGGGCCAAAGAGGGGGACCUUCGGGCCUCUCGCGUCAGGAUAUGCCUAGGUGGGAUUAGCUAGUUGGUGAGGUAAUGGCUCACCAAGGCGACGAUCCCUAGCUGGUCUGAGAGGAUGAUCAGCCACACUGGAACUGAGACACGGUCCAGACUCCUACGGGAGGCAGCAGUGGGGAAUAUUGCACAAUGGGCGCAAGCCUGAUGCAGCCAUGCCGCGUGUGUGAAGAAGGCCUUCGGGUUGUAAAGCACUUUCAGUCGUGAGGAAGGUAGUGUAGUUAAUAGCUGCAUUAUUUGACGUUAGCGACAGAAGAAGCACCGGCUAACUCCGUGCCAGCAGCCGCGGUAAUACGGAGGGUGCGAGCGUUAAUCGGAAUUACUGGGCGUAAAGCGCAUGCAGGUGGUUUGUUAAGUCAGAUGUGAAAGCCCGGGGCUCAACCUCGGAAUAGCAUUUGAAACUGGCAGACUAGAGUACUGUAGAGGGGGGUAGAAUUUCAGGUGUAGCGGUGAAAUGCGUAGAGAUCUGAAGGAAUACCGGUGGCGAAGGCGGCCCCCUGGACAGAUACUGACACUCAGAUGCGAAAGCGUGGGGAGCAAACAGGAUUAGAUACCCUGGUAGUCCACGCCGUAAACGAUGUCUACUUGGAGGUUGUGGCCUUGAGCCGUGGCUUUCGGAGCUAACGCGUUAAGUAGACCGCCUGGGGAGUACGGUCGCAAGAUUAAAACUCAAAUGAAUUGACGGGGGCCCGCACAAGCGGUGGAGCAUGUGGUUUAAUUCGAUGCAACGCGAAGAACCUUACCUACUCUUGACAUCCAGAGAACUUUCCAGAGAUGGAUUGGUGCCUUCGGGAACUCUGAGACAGGUGCUGCAUGGCUGUCGUCAGCUCGUGUUGUGAAAUGUUGGGUUAAGUCCCGCAACGAGCGCAACCCUUAUCCUUGUUUGCCAGCGAGUAAUGUCGGGAACUCCAGGGAGACUGCCGGUGAUAAACCGGAGGAAGGUGGGGACGACGUCAAGUCAUCAUGGCCCUUACGAGUAGGGCUACACACGUGCUACAAUGGCGCAUACAGAGGGCAGCAAGCUAGCGAUAGUGAGCGAAUCCCAAAAAGUGCGUCGUAGUCCGGAUUGGAGUCUGCAACUCGACUCCAUGAAGUCGGAAUCGCUAGUAAUCGUGGAUCAGAAUGCCACGGUGAAUACGUUCCCGGGCCUUGUACACACCGCCCGUCACACCAUGGGAGUGGGCUGCAAAAGAAGUAGGUAGUUUAACCUUCGGGAGGACGC